GACAAGUUCAUGUUGUCCAGUUUUGAGGUU
rnacentral:piRNA from 1 species